rnacentral:rRNA from 1 species
UACAGGGGGUGCAAACGUUGCUCGGAAUCAUUGGGCGUAAAGCGCACGUAGGCGGUUCGUUAUGUCGGAUGUGAAAGCCCUUGGCUUAACCGAGGAAGUGCAUCCGAAACUGGCGAGCUAGAGUACGAAAGAGGAUCGCGGAAUUCCCGGUGUAGAGGUGAAAUUCGUAGAUAUCGGGAGGAACACCGGUGGCGAAGGCAGCCCCCUGGGCCAAUACUGACGCUCAUGCACGAAAGCGUGGGGAGCAAGCAGG